ACUUUUAAGGGAUAAAAGCAUUCCGCCGGCCUUAGAAGCCAUAAUUCUUGGUGCAAAUCCAAGUAAAAGUU
rnacentral:tRNA from 1 species